AGAGUUUGAUCCUGGCUCAGGACGAACGCUGGCGGCGUGCUUAACACAUGCAAGUCAAGGGGACCCGCAAGGGUAACCGGCGAACGGGUGCGUAACACGUGAGCAACCUACCGAGAUCUGGGGGAUAGCCGGCCCAACGGCCGGGUAAUACCGCAUACGCUCUUUCCACGGCAUUGUGGAUUGAGGAAACCUCCGGGGGAUUUCGAGGGGCUCGCGGCCUAUCAGCUAGUUGGCGAGGUCACGGCUCACCAAGGCGACGACGGGUAGCUGGUCUGAGAGGAUGGCCAGCCACAUUGGGACUGAGAAACGGCCCAGACUCCUACGGGAGGCAGCAGUGGGGAAUCUUGCGCAAUGGCCGAAAGGCUGACGCAGCGACGCCGCGUGUGGGAGGAAGCCUUUCGGGGUGUAAACCACUGUUGCCCGGGACGAACAGCUCCUUCGUGGAGCCUGACGGUACCGGGUGAGGAAGCACCGGCUAACUCCGUGCCAGCAGCCGCGGUAAUACGGGGGGUGCGAGCGUUGUCCGGAAUCACUGGGCGUAAAGGGCGCGUAGGUGGCUUGGCAAGCGCGUGGUGAAAGCCCGGGGCUCAACCCCGGGUCUGCCGUGCGAACUGCUAUGGCUUGAGCACUGUAGAGGCAGGUAGAAUUCCGGGUGUAGCGGUGGAAUGCGUAGAGAUCCGGAAGAAUACCGGUGGCGAAGGCGGCCUGCUGGGCAGUGGCUGACACUGAGGCGCGACAGCGUGGGGAGCAAACAGGAUUAGAUACCCUGGUAGUCCACGCCGUAAACGAUGGGCACUAGG
rnacentral:rRNA from 1 species